rnacentral:misc_RNA from 1 species
GAUGAAGAACGCAGCGAAAUGCGAUAAGUAAUGUGAAUUGCAGAAUUCAGUGAAUCAUCGAAUCUUUGAACGCACAUUGCGCCCGCCAGUAUUCUGGCGGGCAUGCCUGUUCGAGCGUCAUUUCAACCCUCAAGCCCCCGGGCUUGGUGUUGGGGAUCUGCGUGCCCUCGCGGCGCGCCGUCCCCUAAAUCUAGUGGCGGUCUCGCUGUAGCUUCCUCUGCGUAGUAGCAACACUCGCACUGGAUCGCAGCGCGGCCACGCCGUUAAACCCCCCACUUCUGAAAGUUUGACCUCGGAUCAGGUAGGAGUACCCGCUGAACUUAAGCAUAUCAAUAAGCGGAGGA